rnacentral:lncRNA from 1 species
GGUGGAAAUCGUAAGCACUGUUGGAUUGGGGAAUUACUGAGUGUGGCCUAAGGUAAGUGUCUUAAGCUCUCUCAGCCUUGGGCUGCUUGCCUGCUACCUCACUGGGUCUGCAGUGAGAACUGGGAUUGCCCAGAGUGUCAAGAGCCCGAGAGUGGAGGGUGGUGAUGCUGUCAUCGGCAAGUCUGCCAUCCCGACCCAAGUCCUAUUUUAUAGCUGGAUUUCAUCAAGGGUUUUGACUUCCACUCCUGCCUCUGCCUCCCAAGUGUUGCAAAUAAAGGUGGUCUGCCUAAGGAAAAGCCAACUCUAAGACAUGGACACAUCUCUGGCGAGAGAUGAAUAAGGGUUAAUUAAGCCCUGGUUGUGUACAGGGGUCACGAGUGUCCCUGCAGUGGGAAGAAACACCACCAGGGGCGCUCCAAAUAGCAUAUUUUCUACCUUGAAACCUCAUUUUCCUGUGGCUGCCCUCCAAAUUCAAUGGAGACGAACUGUUUCUUAGUUUACCUAACUGAUUUAAUAAACCUUGAAAAUAAAUUUGUGUAUUACUUUCUUAAUAAUGUGGAUAUGGGCCUGUGGGAAGGAAUGUGGAGGGUCAGAGUGGAGGGAAGGCUGUCUCGGAGUCUGGUUCAACCACUGUGACUCGAGACAAGUUUCUCAAGAGUGAAGCAGUUCUGAGGUUCCCACAUCCAACCUCCCCGGGAUGUUAGGAAAUAUGGACGCAGUGGGAAAAAAGCAACACAAAGGUCAGAAGAGGUCCCAAGACCGCUUACCUCCCUCCGAUGCACCUCCUCCUCCUCCCUUCUCCCUGGGAGGAAAUGUCAGGGUGGGAAGGAGGCAGAUCCAGCUGUUAAGCCAUGACCUCAAGAACAGUAUUUCCAGGAAUCCCCAUCUUAGCAUCCAAGGGAUUCCUGGGAAAACUGGACCGUGAGGACAAGGUGGGAGAGAGAUGCCUUCAGCAGUGCCACGCCCACCCCUAGGGACGAGCAGUUUUCCCUGCAUCCGGCGCCAGCUCUGGCAGCCAGUGUGGGGUGCUAUAUGCACCUCACUUCUCAGGAUGCAGCUCUCUACUCUGGGGAGAGCAACCAGAGCUCUGAGUGGCUUGGAAAGUACCUCCCCUGAGGUCAGGAAGCAUUUGGGACCAGUCCUCCCUGCCCCCUCCCCCUUGCCAUGGGGCCAUGAGAACUCUGGCCAGUGGUCAUGAAAUCCGUUCCCAGGCUCUAUCGACUUUCUCACUGUUGUCCUCCAGCAGGUCACUUAGACUCUGAUCUUUGCUCGAUUGUGAGGUGGCAUCAAAUAGGACCUACUGGGUGGGCGAGGAGCCAGCAUGAAGGAAGUGAGGCCACAGGACUCUUAGAAAUAUGUAUGGUCAGGGGCUGGACAGAUGGCUCAGCGAUUAAGAGUGCUGGCUGCGCUUCCAGAGGUCCUGAGUUCAAUUCCCAGCAGCCACCUGGCUCAGGACCAUUUAUAAAGGGAUCUGAUGCCCUCUUCUGGCCUGCAGGUGGACAUGUAGAAGUGUGUGGUUCUGAUGUCACUACAGCUGAGAGUAACCAGCUGUAGACCGCGUGGGGUGCGUUCUAUUUUCAUACUCUGCUCUAUGAAGUGGGUCAGCUUCCUCUGAGCAGGCUAGGGAGGUUAAAUACAAAUGGGUAGACCCCAGUGGCUCCCCUCUGUUGCCCCUUGCCUCUCUGAAGCCUCUGGGACAGGGCAGACAUUUGCGAGAUGCCAGACUGGUUGAGGCAACAGCACCAACCAGGGUUAGAGCUCAAAGAGUGAGGACAGUGACUCCAAGCCUAAUGUGUGGCACUUCUGUUGGGUUGCCAGGACCGUUCGCCUCUACCUCUAGGACUAAGGGUUGUUUGGGACUGUCUGAUCCACAGAGAUGAAGGGGUUUCAACGCAGAACCAUUUAUAGUAGAUAUUCAGUGUUGAGAAGGAUUCCGAGGGCGUGUUGGAACCCUCUCAGAAUGGAUAGAUGCCGCGGUUUGUUUGUUUGUUUGUUUGUUAGCAGUGUCUUCUCUGGGCUGAGGAAGUAAAGGCAGUGUGUUGGUGCUGGCGGCCAUUGAAUGAACCAGCGUUUACUGUUACGGAUGGCAUAAGAGUGCUCAGCCCUGGUACAGCCUGAGUCAAGGAACAUCACCACAAGUUGCUGCAGCGGACUCUAGGGACAACCGAUCGGGCCCGCUACCCCUCACCAACACUUACCAUGUCCCGGCGACGGCUGCAGAACAUCUUCUCCCUUCCUGAGCUACAGUGCUUCAUCUCAGACUCCCAACUGACCAGAGAUGCAGCACUGCACCUCAGGCUGGGAGACAGGCGCUCCGCGCUCAGGCCACGGCUUUCUUCCUGGGCAGGAGAAUGAGCAUGCGCAGUGGUCUGCCUCCUAUACUGGUCUGGACACGCCCUGGAGACCUCUGGGAAGGAAACGUCCAUCUUCGUGUCCUUUGUCUUUUAAAGUUAGCUUUCUUGAGAUGGACCCUACCCAUCUGAAGUGUGCAGUUAAUUUUUUUUUUCAGUGCUAAAGAUGGAACCCAGGGCCUUGCAGAUAGCCUCUCUGUGCCUGCUCAACUUGUGGUUCCCGUAUUUGCCCCAUCCGUCUCUGUAUGCAGUCUGGACAAAUGACAGCUACUGAGAAACCACCCCUUACUUCUUUAGAUCCAAGGACAUCUCCUUCAUGGGCGCUCCCAACCUUUGAACUCUGUUUCUUCCUAGCUCUUGGGGUACUGUUUUCAUCUGGGAGCACUUUCCUUCACUUUCCCUUCAGGAAAGGGAGUCUGCUGGCUUUCCUCUGCCCCCGAAUCAAGGCCAUGUUGAACACUGCUUAAGUAGAUCAAUCGCAACCCACAUCACCCUCUGUGGCUUUGGAGUGGUUCAUCUCU